UAUUUUAUAGAUUUCCGGCAUGCUUCAUAACUAUUUGUAAAACAAUUUUGUCGUCAUAAUCAGAAAAAUUCAAAACCGCCUGUCAUAUUUCUGUUUUCUGCAUGUGAUUGUGAAUUUUAGAAUAUUGUGACAAAUAUCGAUACUGUGAAAAUCUCUGAAAAUAUUGUGAUAUAAUUUCCAGCCCAAAUUCCCUUAAACUAUUAAGCAGCAAGGCAGUCAAAGAAAAAACCUAUAGCAACAAUUAAAACAUACGGUCAGCAUUUUAUAGUGUUUUAUAGCAUGAUUUAUUUCUUAAAAUUAGAUUUGUUUGCAGUCCAUUCAGUUUUUCACAUUUUUUCAUUUUCUAAGUCUAAAUCUUAAGGCCAAUUUCAUGUUCUGAAUCUGAAUCUUAAGGGCAAUUUCAAGAGCAUUUUAAGCAUAAAUGCCGUAUUCAUGUAAAGAAAAGAUACCUUCGCGUACAUAGGUCUACAUCGUUUUUUAUUCUGUGGAAAACUAAAGAUUGAUCUGCUGGCCAGAUUUUAUAAUGAAUUAUAAACAUAUCGUGGGCCGCACGAAUAAAAUCUACUAGAUUUUAUUAUCAUAACUAGAUUACCGGUCAAAAUCUAUAAUGCAAAAUCAGUUGCUCAUUAUUAAUCAUAUCCUCUGAGUUCACCCAGUCACAGAAUUAACUCUCUUCUUCAGGUGUGUUCAUUUUCUUCAUUUAUCACCAUAAGCUCGGCCGUGUUCGGAUUAAGGUACAGUCAGACGUACCUUAAGUUAUUUUUCUUACUUUGGAUGGUAAGAUCUUUUGUGCAACUGUUAACAGAACUGUAGUAACUUAUUAAGGGCAGUUGGAUACGAUCACAUCACUCACUACCGUCUCCCCAGUUUAACUCAGACGACCCGGACUACCCCCAUCACCGGAAAUAAUCCUUGUUCUCGCGCGGGCCCUCUAGCCACCUAGUGGAUAACAUAAAAAUUGCAAUAUUUCCAUGAUAACAGCACAAACUUCAAGGGACUUCAAGAGACCAAGACAAGGGGAAAAACUUAAGUGAACAUUUUAAGGCAACCUUAAGUAGAAGACUUAUGGGUGUUUUGUUCAACCAAUCUUAUCUUAAGUAAACCUUAAGUCGGACUUCAUGGAAAAUCUUAAUUUAAGGGGUUCUGUGCAGCCGGCCCCAGGUCUUUGAAUUCAUUGGUCCUCCAUGACACACUGACUUCUGAACAGAACCACACUGAUAUGGAACGUAGGAUAAAUGAUUAGGUGUAAGGUUUGAAAUUGGGAAAAGAAAGACCUCCAUCUGAUUUACUGUGCUAAAUAGUGGACAACUUAAUAUGAGAACAUUUCCCAUUCCAAAUAUAUUUGAAGAAACUAGGGAUAAGAAUCCAAAUUCAGGGGCUGCAUCCUUCUAAGGCUGCAUUUGAAGACCGAAUGCAUCACAGCGGCGUGACAAGGCUGUCACAUUUCAUAAGCUCCUUCAAAUGUGGUCUAGAAAUACGUCCUACUCUUGCCAAGUUGUGAAGGAUCCACCUGAUGGAUCCUUUGCAGCCCAACAUAUCCCAAGAAUCACUGCGCAGAAGUAAAGUGUGCUUGUCCCGGGUAGGCGAUAGGAGCGGCACUUCGUGACUGAAGGGCAGGAACAGCUGGUGAUACAAAUAGGAAUUUAUCCGCAGGCCAGACUGUCUCAUUUGACAGUGUUUUCUGUUAGAAGGAUGCAACCCUGGAUUCGAACACAGACUGUCACUGCCAGCUCGUGUAAGAACGCAGCAUAAAAAAAGGGAGACCAACAACAAGCACCUGACACACCGAAGACGAUCUAUGGUUUUAUCAACGAAUCUGUGAUUUUACCCUCCGGAUCCCCUGUUCUCAACCCUACCCAGAUCCAGUGGCACCAUAACAAUAGAUUUAUUAUAUUAUAUGUUCAUCCAAAUGAAGUUAGUAACCACAACAAAAAUAAGUUUUGGCUUAAUAAAACAGAUGGAUCCCUUCGGAUCUCCAACCUACAUACAGAAGAUUCAGGAAAUUACAAAGUUAAAAUAAUAAUUGAAAAAUCUCAAAAACCUAAAGAAUUAAACCUCAUUGUGGUCGGAAGGAUUAAAAAGCCAGAGCUGAAGGUGCUGAACGCGCGGCGCAGGACCGGAUUCUGCUUAGUGAAGGUGUCGUGCAUUACCUUCGACGACCACUCGGUGGAGGCAGAGUGCAACAUCACCUCUGACACCUCCAGCUGUACAGAGACCAGGAACAGCAGCUCUCCUGGCCUCUCUAUCGACAUCUCAGCUCAGGCAAAAUUAAUUUCCUGCAAUAGCAGCAACAUUGUCACCUCUUUCAGCAGGAGCAUCGUUAUCAAUGAACACUGUGCGAUUGAUCUUAAAGGUCUUACCAAUGGAACACAAUGCACAACCUGCAUUUUCUUAGUCUACUUGCUAAUUGUUUUAUUAGCUCUAUUUUUUUAAGAAAUAGAUUCAGUGACGUGCUGGUAUCCGGCCCCUUCUGCUUCAGGAGUCCGACAGGUUGACCAAGAUCAGGCCUCCUGCUUCAGCCAGAUCAGGGGUCAGCAACCUGCAGCUUGUGAGCCACAUUACGGUAUUGCAAGAAGAAUUAGGCUUUGACCACGGGACUGCGGCUCUUCUCAGAAUGAUAGACACAUUCACAUUUUCAUGUCUUAACAUAACUAUGAUAAUACUUUUGUAAAGAUUAAUUAUUUAUUUAUGGGUUAAUAUUAUUUUUCAUUUAGAUAUUUCUUUAGCUGUAAGUCCAUCGCGCGCUUCUCUGAUGGUAUGCUUUCCGGAGUUUUCUUUAUUACCUGAGAUUGGAUGUACGCUUCAACAUUUAUUGGGAUUCCUAAUUCUUCUUGCAAUACCGUAAUUGCAAGUAUUGUGUACUAAAACAAAAGCAUCACUAUAGUAUAGGGUAAAAUAUCUUUAGAGCAAAAUCGAAUAAACAGACAGUGGGCAUAAGGAAAUUGAAAAGUUUUUGAUAACCAUUAUUUCUUCAAAAACAGUUUCAGUUUGAUUUACUUAUGUGCACCAUGUCUGGAUUGUCGCGGUACAGCAUCCAGCAGUAGUCGGCCAUCCACACCAUUAUAAUUCCAAAGUAUAAUUUGUAUAUCUUCUUAAGAUCUACAGUGAUUGGGCGACGUUGUGAAUGAACCACACACAUAACAGAAACUGUCUGGAUGACUAAUACAAUUUUUAGGCAUGAUAACAACUGAAAGCCAACACAGUUGAUGCUGUCUGUCACCGCCGCCUUCGAUUUCCAGGACAAUGACCCAGAAUUCAAACUCGAGAGUUACAUUUGGUAUUUCUUUUGCGACAAUUCGAGAAAAUAAAAAAUUUGUCGAGAAGCUUACGUCAGCAAAACGAAACCUGAGGCACAACUACCUAUGUUUCCCGCCAAAGUUGUUUACACAAGACAUGCACCUGCACACUAGGUCAAAUUAAUCAUACUCAAAUCACAACUAGACAAGUAUCAAUAAAACAUGAAUCAAUAUCUAGUCACCUCGAGAACGGUGAUGCUGUCUAUAACAUAAAAAAACACAGGCAACUCUUGUAAUACACUUAGGCAGACUACAUGUACAUAAUAUCAUACUACAUAUAGCUUCAUCACAAAAACUUGAUGAUAGAGAAAAACUAAACAGAUUUGAAAUCAGCAUGAAAAAUACUAGAAAACCCACAUAAAAUUACCUCUGAUGAAAAUGACCUGUUAACCUGUGUUGUUAAUUGUCUAGUCUUUGAAGAAGCAUUCAAGUAAGAAUUUCAUUGUGCUCUAUUGUACUUUGUACAUAUAACAAUACAAACUUUGAAUCUUGAAUCUUGGCCUCACCUUCGUGUGAACCAUCUGUUUUCAGGUACUGUGAGGGAGUAACUGGGUGACUGGGUGGUGCCAAGACUUCCAACGGGCCAGGUGGAACACACCCAGGUGGAAAGGCCCAUUCCAGAUCCUUCUUGUCACCACUAAAGCAGUCAAGGUCGCCGAAAGGCCCAGCUGGAUCCAUGCUAACCACUGCCGUUAGGCUCCAGAGCCUGCUGCUGCUGACAGUGAGGGACAGGGUGCAAGACCCGCCUCCAGAGACAAUGGUGACCAGGGCAACUGUGACCAGGACGAGAAGUAGAUGUGGACAAAGAUGUUCUUCACAAACCAGGCCCAGAAGCAGAUACAAACCAAGAUAAGAAGCAGUCGACAUCACGAUGGAGCCCCUGGUGCCAGAAGAAGAAUGCCCCCGAUGCCUUGCCAAGCAUCGCUACCUUUGGGAAUGACUCAGGGGACUGAAGAGACUGAUGUGCAUAGUAUUGAUUGCAAGAAUAUUAGUGUUCAUGCCUGUUUUUAUGCUUGUGUGAAAUAUAUCUCCCAGGUCCCCCAUCAUCAAACAAUUCUCAUGAAUUGAGAUGGGCAGUAUUUCAGUUAAAUGUAUUUAAUUUAAUUAAUUUAAGUGUUUUGUAAUUUGUAUUUUGCUGUAUGGAAAAAACAGAUGUGAUUUGCAACAAAAUACUUUUAGAGAUUGUA